AAUCGUAUGAAGGUUGUGAUUGAUCAAUAAAGGAUUCGUCACUCUUAGAUAGUAGGAGAUUAUGAUCUACGUUUCAUUCAAUUAAGUCGAUGAUGAAAUCCUUGGCCAAGGUGUACUCAUAAGUCGAAAAGGAGUUUUCGAUUUAUAUUGACUUAAUAGUGGAAUGAAAGAUAUGAUCGAUGAUCGAGAUUGACACAAUUCCAUAUCUCGUAAUUGAUCGGAUCGUAUUGACGAAGGGAUAAUAGUUCCACGGUGAACGAACGAAUUUGAUUUUGUCAUACCACGUGACAUUUCCCGUCACAUGUAUUGCCCUGACACAUUGCUAGAUGUCAAUCAGGGACGGCGAAUGUGAAUUGACG
rnacentral:lncRNA from 1 species